rnacentral:rRNA from 1 species
GAGGGCAAGUCUGGUGCCAGCAGCCGCGGUAAUUCCAGCUCCAAUAGCGUAUAUUAAAGUUGUUGCAGUUAAAAAGCUCGUAGUUGGAUUUCUGUUAAUAUUUUAUAUUAUUAAUUUAUUAUUAUUAAUAUAAUAUUAACGUAAUUCAUAUUACUUUUUUUUAAGUAUAUGAAAUUUUACUUUGAGAAAAUUAGAGUGCUUAAAGCAGGCUUUUGCCUUGAAUACUCCAGCAUGGAAUAAUAUUAAAGAUUUUUAUCUUUCUUAUUGGUUCUAAGAUAGAAAUAAUGAUUAAUAGGGACAGUUGGGGGCAUUUGUAUUUAACAGUCAGAGGUGAAAUUCUUAGAUUUGUUAAAGACAAACUAAUGCGAAAGCAUUUGCCAAGGAUGUUUUCAUUAAUCAAGAACGAAAGUUAGGGGAUCGAAGACGAUCAGAUACCGUCGUAGUCUUAACCAUAAACU